rnacentral:lncRNA from 1 species
GAACUAUUCUCUCGCCUGUUUCAGCAGUUUCCAAAGAAUCAGGGCUGUGGAAAUAAUCCAGUCCCAGCUUCUCAGCAGAAACUCUGCUCCAAACUGCACUUGUGAGAUCAGUUGUUUAGAAAAACAUAAUGAGCCCAAGUAACGAGGCUGCUGCUCCUGCCAGGGUGUAGCACGAAGGUAUUUGGGCAAGGGAGAGUGCAGCGAGCUGGGUACAGAGACCCUGGCUUCAGCGACUGUGCAGUCUCAGGCUGCCCAUGGUGUCGUGCACUGAUGUGGAGACCAAGGAAGAGGGACCUGAAUGCUUGUUGGACCUCCCUGGGGAAAAGAUGUGCCCUCUGCAGUGAUGCAGAAGUGUUCUGAAGCCGUGGGUGCUACUG